AGUGAACGCUGGCGGUAGGCCUAACACAUGCAAGUCGAACGGCAGCACAGUAAGAGCUUGCUCUUACGGGUGGCGAGUGGCGGACGGGUGAGGAAUACAUCGGAAUCUACUUUUUCGUGGGGGAUAACGUAGGGAAACUUACGCUAAUACCGCAUACGCCCUACGGGUGAAAGCAGGUGAUCUUCGGACCUUGCGCGAUUGAAUGAGCCGAUGUCGGAUUAGCUAGUUGGCGGGGUAAAGGCCCACCAAGGCGGCGAUCCGUAGCUGGUCUGAGAGGAUGAUCAGCCACACUGGAACUGAGACACGGUCCAGACUCCUACGGGAGGCAGCAGUGGGGAAUAUUGGACAAUGGGCGCAAGCCUGAUCCAGCCAUACCGCGUGGGUGAAGAAGGCCUUCGGGUUGUAAAGCCCUUUUGUUGGGAAAGAAAAGCAGCAGGUUAAUACCCCGCUGUUCUGACGGUACCCAAAGAAUAAGCACCGGCUAACUUCGUG
rnacentral:rRNA from 1 species